rnacentral:misc_RNA from 1 species
AAGUCGUAACAAGGUUUCCGUAGGUGAACCUGCGGAAGGAUCAUUCUUGUAUCACUGUGUAUGUGUGUAUCUCUUUUGUACACAUACUCUCUGUAGAAUAUCAUUUCUGUGAUAUUUUAUUUAUUAACUAUGUGAAAUGUGCCAGUCUAUGUUUGCUUUGCGAUGAACUAGUGUGUGUGAAGCAAUGUGUUUCUGUCAGCUCGCUGUCUCAUCGUCUGCACGCACUCUUUCGGGGGUGUAUUGCUGCGGUAAAUGUACAGCUUGUUGACAGUUGCACAUUAUUCAGAUGUUUAAUAUCUGAUUCCACGCAUUGUCGCAAGCAGACGUAGGCAAUCCAUUUAGAUUUUAUUUCUUCACUACAACAACUACCUACUGUCAAAGUCAGAAAUAAUUAAAAAAUUUAUGACAACUUUUAGCAACGGAUCUCUAGGCUCUC